AGGGCAAGUCUGGUGCCAGCAGCCGCGGUAAUUCCAGCUCCAAUAGCGUAUAUUAAAGUUGUUGCAGUUAAAAAGCUCGUAGUUGAAUUUCGGGGUUAGUAGGUUGGUCGUGCCUCAGGUAUGUACUGAUCUCACUGAUUCCUCCUUCCUGAUGAACCGUAAUGCCAUUAAUUUGGUGUUGCGGGGAAACUGGACUGUUACUUUGAAAAAAUUAGAGUGUUUAAAGCAGGCUAACGCUUGAAUACAUUCGCAUGGAAUAAUGAAAUAGGACGUUCGAUCCUAUUUUGUUGGUUUCUAGGAUUGACGUAAUGAUUAAUAGGGAUAGUUGGGGGCAUUAGUAUUCAAUUGUCAGAGGUGAAAUUCUUGGAUUUAUUGAAGACUAACUACUGCGAAAGCAUUUGCCAAGGAUGUUUUCAUUAAUCAAGAACGAAAGUUAGGGGAUCGAAGACGAUCAGAUACCGUCGUAGUCUUAACCAUAAACUAUGCCGACUAGGGAUCGGAUGAUGUUAAUUUUUUAAUGACUCAUUCGGCGCCUUACGGGAA
rnacentral:rRNA from 1 species